AUGACAGGCUGGUCAGUGCCCUGUCAUCCUCUACAUCUCCCUGGCCAUCUAGGACGGCAGUGGCCCAGCUCAUCCUCUGGGCUCUUCCAAGCCCUCCGAUUUCUACCGAUGCCCAGCCCCACGGGACUCAUCCACUUCCAGACCCCAGAAGGAAGUGGUUCAUUCCAUCUCUCCCCACCACACCCACCCUGCUGGCCAGAACAGCACAGGCCUGCAGUGCCCACCCCUUCCUGUCAGCCUGGCAAUGCCAGCUCUUCUCAGCCCCAAUCCCAAUUCCACACAUGGCCCUGCAGAGGUGGACUAAAACUUCUGGUUCAGGUGCGGCAGGGAUUAAAGGCAAGCAUACACACCACGAGAAGGGGCUGCUGAAGACAACCACAAAGAAGGGGCCAGAACCACCAAAGCAAGGUGCACAGACAUGCUCCCACUGUGAAGCUGGUGAGGGCUGUCUCACAGAGGCCAGCUUUGGCGGAGAGAGCUGAGCCUC
rnacentral:lncRNA from 1 species